rnacentral:rRNA from 1 species
AUUGAACGCUGGCGGCAGGCCUAACACAUGCAAGUCGAGCGGAUGAAGGGAGCUUGCUCCUGGAUUCAGCGGCGGACGGGUGGGUAAUGCCUAGGAAUCUGCCUGGUAGUGGUGGAUAACGUCCGGACACGGGCGCUAAUACCGCAUACGUGCUGAGGGCGAAAGGGGGGAAGCUUGGGACCUUCGGCCCUUGCGUGAGCCUAUGUGGCUAGGUCGGAUUAGCUAGUUGGUGGGGUAAAGGCCCACCAAGGCGACGAUCCGUAACUGGUCUGAGAGGAUGAUCAGCCACACUGGAACUGAGACACGGUCCAGACUCCUACGGGAGGCAGCAGUGGGGAAUAUUGGACAAUGGGCGAAAGCCUGAUCCAGCCAUGCCGCGUGGGUGAAGAAGGUCUUCGGAUUGUAAAGCACUUUAAGUUGGGAGGAAGGGCAGUAAGUUAAUACCUUGCUGUUUUGACGGUACCAAAAGAAUAAGCACCGGCUAACUUCGUG